GGUGAGGUGUCCGAGCGGCCUAAGGACCUGGUCUUGAAAACCAGUGCACGUACUGCGUGCCGUGGGUUCGAAUCCCACCCUCACCG
rnacentral:tRNA from 2 species